UCUGUCUGUGAUGAUAAAGUGUCCACGCUUUGUCGAGUUACUCAACAAUGAGAUCGAUACCACAUUCUAAACUAUCUGAGACAGA